CCUAACAUAUACGCAAGUCGCUCGGUCUUGAAUAGGCCCGGGAGGCGAAAUGAAAGUAAAGUUACGAGGCCUUAACCGGUCGCAGUAACGGCCCGCCGGCUUCAUUUAUUGGUGAUAUGGCGGAGCUGGAGCGUAUACGUUGGU
rnacentral:rRNA from 1 species